GCGCCGGUGGUGUAAGGCGAACAUCGCUGCCCGGAAAGCAGAAGAUGCGGGUUCGAGUCCCGCCUGGGCA
rnacentral:tRNA from 1 species